UUAGAAUUAGUUAAAAAUCUUAUAACAUUAAUUUGUCAAAUUAAAAUUAUUUAAAUUAAAUAAUCUCAU
rnacentral:tRNA from 1 species